UACGAAGGGGGCUAGCGUUGCUCGGAAUCACUGGGCGUAAAGCGCACGUAGGCGGAUUGCUAAGUCAGGGGUGAAAUCCUGGAGCUCAACUCCAGAACUGCCCUUGAUACUGGCGGUCUCGAGUCCGGGAGAGGUGAGUGGAACUGCGAGUGUAGAGGUGAAAUGCGCAGAGAUCGGGAGGAACACCCGUAGCGAAGGCGGCGCUCUGGGCCGGUACUGACGCUGAGGAGCGAAAGCGUGGGGAGCAAACAGG
rnacentral:rRNA from 1 species